UACGGGGGGGGCAAGCGUUGUUCGGAAUUACUGGGCGUAAAGGGCUCGUAGGUGGCCAACUAAGUCAGACGUGAAAUCCCCAGGCUCAACUUGGGAACUGCGUCUGAUACUGGAUGGCUUGAAUUCGGGAGAGGGAUGCAGAAUUCCAGGUGUAGCAGUGAAAUGCGUAGAUAUCAGGAGGAACACCGAUGGCGAAGGCAGGUCUCUGGGCUGACACUGACGCUCAUGCACGAAAGCGUGGGGAGCAAACAGG
rnacentral:rRNA from 1 species